GAUGAACGCUGGCGGCGUGCCUAAUACAUGCAAGUCGAGCGAACGGACGAGAAGCUUGCGUCUCUGAUGUUAGCGGCGGACGGGUGAGUAACACGUGGAUAACCUACCUAUAAGACUGGGAUAACUUCGGGAAACCGGAGCUAAUACCGGAGAAUAUUUUGAACCGCAUGGUUCAAAAGUGAAAGACGGUCUUGCUGUCACUAAUAGAUGGAUCCCCGCUGCAUUAGCUAGUUGGUAAGGUAACGGCUUACCAAGGCAACGAUGCAUAGCCGAACUGAGAGGGUGAUAGGCCACCCUGGAACUGAGACACGGACCAGACUCCUACGGGAGGCAGCAGUAUGGAAUCUUACGCAGCAGGCGGGAACCUGACGGAGUAGGCCGGAGUGAGAGAUGAAGGUCUUCCGUUCGUAAAGCUCUGUUUUUAGGGAAAAACCUAUUUGUAAGUUAAUGUAGACUUCUUGACGGUAACGAAUCAGAAAGCCCCGGCUAACUACGUG
rnacentral:rRNA from 1 species